rnacentral:tRNA from 1 species
GUUUUAAUAAUUUAAUAAAAAUAUUGGUCUUGUAAACCAGAAAUAAGACUAUCCUUUUAAAACU